rnacentral:rRNA from 1 species
GUGAGGAAUAUUGCGCAAUGGGGGAAACCCUGACGCAGCGAUGCCGCGUGGGUGAAGAAGGCCUUCGGGUCGUAAAGCCCUGUCAAGCGGGAAGAAUAGCCCGGUGGCUAAUAUCCAUCGGGUGUGACGGUACCGCUGAAGGAAGCACCGGCUAACUCCGUGCCAGCAGCCGCGGUAAGACGGAGGGUGCGAGCGUUAUUCGGAUUUAUUGGGCGUAAAGGGUGUGUAGGCGGUCGAUCAAGUCUGAUGUGAAAGCCCGGGGCUUAACCUCGGAAGGGCGUUGGAAACUGGUCGACUUGAGUUCGGGAGAGGAAAGCGGAAUUCCGGGUGUAGAGGUGAAAUUCGUAGAUAUCCGGAGGAACACCGGUGGCGAAGGCGGCUUUCUGGACCGAAACUGACGCUGAGACACGAAAGCGUGGGGAGCAAACAGGAUUAGAAACCCCAGUAGUCC